GGAUGGGUGCCCGAGUGGUCGAAGGGGCACGACUGGAAAUCGUGUAGUCGGGGUUAAACCUGACUCGAGGGUUCGAAUCCCUCCCCAUCCGCCA
rnacentral:tRNA from 1 species